CCUACGGGAGGCAGCAGUAGGGAAUCUUGCGCAAUGGGCGAAAGCCUGACGCAGCCAUGCCGCGUGAAUGAUGAAGGUCUUAGGAUUGUAAAAAUUCUUUUCACCGGGGACGAUAAUGACGGUACCCGGAGAAGAAGCCCCGGCUAACUUCGUGCCAGCAGCCGCGGUAAUACGAAGGGGGCUAGCGUUGCUCGGAAUUACUGGGCGUAAAGGGAGCGUAGGCGGAUAGUUUAGUCAGAGGUGAAAGCCCAGGGCUCAACCUUGGAAUUGGCCUUUGAUACUGGCUAUCUUGAGUAUGGAAGAGGUAUGUGGAACUCCGGAGUGUAGAGGUGAAAUUCGUAGAUAUUCGGAAGAACACCAGUGGCGAAGGCGACAUACUGGUCCAUUACUGACGCUGAGGCUCGAAAGCGUGGGGAGCAAACAGGAUUAGAUACCCUGGGUAGUCCACGCCGUAAACGAUGAGUGCUAGUUGUCGGCAUGCANGNNUGUGUGCGCNGCUACGCAUAAGACACUCCGCCGUCGGGAGGUACGGUCGGCGACGAAGUUAAACGUUAAAGUUAAGUUAGUAGUUACGUUGAGAGACGACGGCGACGACGACGGAGAGGAGG
rnacentral:rRNA from 1 species